AUGAGCCAAGACCUCCUCUGUCCCUUUGAGGCCAAAGGUCUGUGUGACCUGGUGGGGAUGAUGCAAGGCCCCUCUCCAGUUUCCAGGUGGACUCCAGUCAGAACAUCUUCAGAGAACACGUUCCUCUGCUCCACUCAUCCCACAAGCCCUGAGCCCCUGCUUGGUGCCAGACUCCCUGGAGGGCACGGGGCACUGAUACAUGGCAACAGGGCCCCUGGCCAGAGGGGUGAGGGGCAGGCAGAGCAGAGACAGUGCAGGGGACUGGUGUCUGCCUGGGACAAGGUGGUGGAGGUGGUGGGACAUGGGAGGACCCACCUGAGCUGGCCGUGGAAGGAUGAGUGUGGUCACCAGGCCAAAGGACAAAGGGUGGCACUGCAGGUGGAGGGAGCAGCAGGUGGAAAGCCACUGAGGCACGGGGUGCAGGGGGUGCUGGCAAUAGUGAAGACUUGGGUGUCACCGGUGACCAGCGCAGCCCUCAUCCCUCAUAGCCACGCCCACGAUGCCCAACUCAGCCUCGCUCAGCACGCAGCCCUCAUGCCCCCACUUCCUCCCCUGCCCUUGGCAGACAUCACUAGUCAACUGUGCUCCUCUUUCCACAGACCCCAAAUGCACCCUUGGAUUUCUUGGCGUGUGAUUACUGGACACGCCUGGCCCAAAUCCUCCCCCGCCAUGGCUGCUCGUGACACUAACUUCAACCUGAUUUACUGCUCUGAAGAGCUAGGGACAAGGGGAACGGCUUUCUCUGGUCUUUUCACUGCCCGGAGGUGGCUCUGGGCUCAGCCUCACGGCCCGGCUGAUCUCAGGACAGGGGCUGAUCUGACACUACUUAUCCGUAAACCAAAAACCAAGCAAACACUUCAUCAACACGCAGGGGCUGAGGAGGAGGAGGGAGACGGAGGGGCAGGACUGGAGAGCCCGGAUGGCCGACCCUCAGGAAACCAGGAGCGCCCGCGCCGGCCGGAGGAGGGGAAAUUCGCUUUGUUGUGCCGGGAAACUAAUGAGAUCCCGCAGUUCUGGCCCAUUUUGCCGAGGCCAGCACCAAAGCCGAGAGAGUGUUUGUUUGCUUUGGUCUUUUAG
rnacentral:lncRNA from 1 species